rnacentral:rRNA from 1 species
CCUACGGGAGGCAGCAGUGGGGAAUAUUGCACAAUGGGGGAAACCCUGAUGCAGCGACGCCGCGUGAAGGAAGAAGUAUUUCGGUAUGUAAACUUCUAUCAGCAGGGAAGAAAAUGACGGUACCUGACUAAGAAGCCCCGGCUAACUACGUGCCAGCAGCCGCGGUAAUACGUAGGGGGCAAGCGUUAUCCGGAUUUACUGGGUGUAAAGGGAGCGUAGGCGGUUUAGCAAGUCAGAAGUGAAAGCCCGGGGCUCAACUCCGGGACUGCUUUUGAAACUGGUGAACUAGAGUGCAGGAGAGGUAAGUGGAAUUCCGAGUGUAGCGGUGAAAUGCGGAGAUAUUAGGAGGAACACCAGUGGCGAAGGCGGCUUACUGGACUGUAAAUGACGCUGAGGCUCGAAAGCGUGGGGAGCAAACAGGAUUAGAGACCCUGGUAGUC